GGGAAUGUAGCUUAAUGGUAGAGUGCUUGCCUAGCAUGCAUGAAGCCCUGGGUUUGAUUCCUCAGUGCUA
rfam:Dipodomys ordii contig_10895, whole genome shotgun sequence.